AAACCAUGACGUGGGCACCUCCUCAGAAGUUCUCCAAAUUAUUUUUAUGCUUCAAAUAAGGAUUCAGACUCAUAUUACUAAAAAUUGGAUAUCUCUGCCAUAAGCUU